rnacentral:rRNA from 1 species
UACGGAGGAUGCGAGCGUUAUCCGGAUUUAUUGGGUUUAAAGGGUGCGUAGGCGGGAUGCCAAGUCAGCGGUAAAAAUGCGGUGCUCAACGCCGUCGAGCCGUUGAGACUGGCGUUCUUGAGUGGGCGAGAAGUAUGCGGAAUGCGUGGUGUAGCGGUGGAAUGCAUAGAUAUCACGCAGAACUCCGAUUGCGAAGGCGGCAUACCGGCGCCCUACUGACGCUGAGGCACGAAAGCGUGGGUAUCGAACAGG